UAAUAUUUGCAAAUAAAUCUAACAAAAAUUGCAUUAUAAGCCAUUGGAGAGUGGUUUUUGAUAUGGUGGAUAAAAAUACGUAAAAUCUUGGUGAAAAUCUAGUGAUCUGAGUGUGGAGAAUCAGCCCUUUGGUAGGUGACUUUCUGUAUAGAAAAUUUUAAUUAUCAUAACAAUCACUGGUCACUUCUGCUAGUUUUGAAAAUGAAAACUGUCACCCCUUAAACCCUACUUAGUUGAGGAGAGAAACUUCUUAAUUUUUUUUUUCUGGCUUUUCUUUUGGGAGGAGUGUGGGUGUAAGCUUGUUUUAGGAAAGAGAUAUUUCAGGAAGUGACAUUUUGUAACUGGAGUAAAAAUUAAGUCUUAGUGGCUUGGAAGAAAACCAAGUAUCUCCUAGCAUGUUUCAAGAAUGUGUAAGUAUUGAGAGAAUUGAAAUAUGUAAACAAUGUCUUAGAGAGUCAACAGAGCAUCACAGUAUAAUACAGCAAGGAUGACAACUUAUAUAAAAACAGUUAAGUCUGAAAUAUAUGACUGUCUGGAUAGCCAAACAUAAUUAAGCAUUAUAAGUACUUCUGAAAUAUAGUUUUGACUGCUGGCAAGAUGCAGUCUUCCUUAGGGCGAAUGAGUUUGGCAGCUUUUUUUGUCUUACACAUGGGGAUGACAUUAUUUUGCUAUGCUGAUAUUAAAAUAAAUGAAAACCAUCCAUGGUGAAAAGAUAAAGGAUGGAAAUGUGUUGGAGGUGUUUCUUUUUAGGGCAUAAUAUAAAGCUUAGGUUUUGUAUAUGGUAGGAUUGAAGGUUUAGAAAUCUUGUAGAUUAAUCUUAAUUUGUACUGUUUUCUAGUGCCCAAGAUGUAUGCAGUGUGAUACAAAAUUUGACUUCAUAACUAGAAAGCAUCACUGCCGAAGAUGCGGGAAGUGCUUCUGCGACAAGUGCUGCAGUAAAAAAGUGCCUCUGCCUCGCAUGUGCUUUGUGGACCCUGUGCGCCAGUGUGCUGAAUGUGCCCUCGUCUCGCAGAAAGAAACAGAGUUCUAUGACAAACAGCUUAAAGUGCUCAUGAACGGUGCUACAUUCUUUGUAACUCUGGGAACAUCUGAUAAAUCUGAGCUCAUGGUUUGUCGACUUUCCAACAAUCAGAGAUAUCUGGUUCUGGAUGGAGACAGCCACUAUGAAAUUGAAAUUAUACAGAUUUCAACUGUUCAGAUACUUACAGAGGGAUUUACUCCUGGAGAGAAAGACAUUCACACUUACACCAGCCUUCUGGAGAGCCAGCACAUUACUGAAGGUGGUAAUACUCGUGCCAUAGGCAUGAUUCUGCAGUAUAAGGUACCAGGAUCAGAGGAACUAACGCAGAUGAAGUUUACAGCCGGUGAAGACUUCAGCUGUAACAAGAAGCUGUCAGCAAGCUGGCUGGCGGCUAUGCACAAGGCAACGAAACUUCUUUAUGAGUCCCGGGACCAGUGAGGAAGCAAGCUGUUGGCUGCUUGAGGGAAACCACCAGCCUCCACAGACCUGCCUCUCACUUCUUGCUCAUUUGACAGCUGGUAACAUUUGCUGUUCUUGACCCUUUCUCAUUCCAGUGUGGUUCAUGAUGUAAGAACCGGCAAAUGCAAUAGGCUGGAGAGAGUAAGGAUAACCUGCUUUGCAGCACUUCAUAGCAGUGUAUCCAGAUGAGGGAUUCUGACCAAAGAUCCAUCUUGUGCUCCUACUUCAGGAGAAGUAAAAAAUAGAAAACAGAAGGCCUGCUUUCUACAACAGACCUUACACAGUAACACUUGGAAGGUUUUGAAAAUCUGCAUGACAUCAGGUAUAGAGCGCCUUAAUGAAGCUUAUACCCUCUGAUGUAAAUUUAAAAUUCACCUGUUCCAUCAAGGUGCUUUUCUUGCAAAAUAUAUCUGAAUAAUUGAAUACAUUUUGUAAGUUAAUUAUUCAUAAAGUAUACAUGUUUCUUCAUGUGAGCUGCUAGAAAUUUGUGCAUCUGGAAGUUGGAGUAUCUCUGUCAAGAUAUUUGACAACUCACUGUUCGCUGUCAAAACUUCCCCAUGGAAGCAUUUCCUUGAAAUUAAGCCAAGUUAAACUUUAAAAAUCUGUAACAUUAGAGGGGGCCUGUGAAGCAACUCAAAGAACAGAAGGACUACAAGCAACAUCAUAACCAAAAGAGUAUUUUGUGUUUAGCAUUUUGAACGAACAGGUAGUGGGUAGCAGCAUCAAGUCUGGGGCCUAUGCAGAUGUUUCACAGAAAUCAGAGACAGAAAGGGAUGAAUUUUAUAAAAGCUAAAGAAGUUUGUAAAGUGGCA